rnacentral:lncRNA from 1 species
CAAAAAUAAAUGUUAUAAUUACAGUAGAAGUCUGAACCUCUUUUGCACAAGAGGAAAAUGGGACUUGGUGCUUGCUAAAACAUGAAUACUCAUAAAGAUUUUUUCUCCUUUCUUCCCUCCCUCCUUCCCUCUUCCCUUUCUUUUUUCAUAGAAUUUCAAGAGUUAGAAGGCACCUUUUUAAUAGAUGCUAAUACUAGGAGAUUUAUGGUAAUAGGACAGGGACAGCAGGAAACCAGCUAGGGACAAGGCUGGAUCUUAUACUCCACCCCCCACCCCCACUACUUCCUGUCUCUUUCUUAACUGAAUCUAAAGGCUCUUCUCAAAAAUGAUCUCAAGGGCUUCUGGUAUGACGUAUUUGUGACCAAGAGGACCAGCUGCUCCAUCCCACUUAGGAGUCUGAACAAGAGUCUGGCACAACUCCAAGGCAAGACCUGAGAUGAGGAUGCUGGGAACCUUCUCAAAGGGACAAAGCACCAAGGCUAAAGCCUCCUAUAGGCUCCAGGUGGCUCACAGACAGCUGGCUGAAAUAGAUGAGCAUUUUGGCUGCAGUGCAGAAAUCCAGAGCUGCUGGAUGCUCUCCAUUUUUCAAAUAGGGAUUUGUAUCACUUUCAAUACAUUAAUGCUCAAGGCAUUCAAUGGUACAGUCACAUGGGACUACCCAUCAUUUCUUAGAAAUGUCUCAUUUCUUUCUUCUCUAUGGGGCUUCAGAGCAAGUAUACUUCUUCUCACUUGAUUUCUCACAACAAUCUUAUGAGGAGAAGAGAGGUGGAAGGGUAAGGGGAGAUCGAGUAAAAAAAAAAGAAAGAAAGAAAAGAAAUUGGAUGAAUGAAACAUCUUUCUCUUUUUACCAGAAAACAGAAGCAAGGCCAAAAAGAAGCACACAAAAGUAGCAUGGCUCUGAAAACUAUAGGUUGAACUUAAUAUUUACUUUAAAAUAAAUGCAAA